rnacentral:rRNA from 1 species
UCAGUCGACUCCUACGGGGAGGCAGCAGUCGGGGAAUAUUGCACAAUCGGGCGCAAGCCUGAUGCAGCCAUGCCGCGUGUGUGAAGAAGGCCUUCGGGUUGUAAAGCACUUUCAGUCGUGAGGAAGGUAGUGUAGUUAAUAGCUGCAUUAUUUGACGUUAGCGACAGAAGAAGCACCGGCUAACUCCGUGCCAGCAGCCGCGGUAAUACGGAGGGUGCGAGCGUUAAUCGGAAUUACUGGGCGUAAAGCGCAUGCAGGUGGUUUGUUAAGUCAGAUGUGAAAGCCCGGGGCUCAACCUCGGAAUAGCAUUUGAAACUGGCAGACUAGAGUACUGUAGAGGGGGGUAGGAAUUUCAGGUGUAGCGGUGAAAUGCGUAGAGAUCUGAAGGAAUACCGGUGGCGAAGGCGGCCCCCUCGGACAGAUACUGACACUCAGAUGCGAAAGCGUGGGGAGCAAACAGGAUUAGAUACCCCUGGUAG